rnacentral:ncRNA from 1 species
UUCCCCUUAUGCACCACAAAUCAAUCUUGAGAUAUAAUAUAUCACAUGUAAAUUGUUCAUCUAAAAGUGAAUGAUUGGAGACAUUAAAAUUAAUAACCCCCAACCUAUUCUCAAACUUGAAAUAGGUAAGGCAUAAAGAUUGCUCCAAUGAACCCUAGCUAUGCAAUUGAAGCUCCAAGAAUGGAUGCAAAAUGAACCAAAAACUCCCAAAAUGUGUACUAACUCAUAUCUCACAAGAUUAAAAUAAUAAAAUAGUGGUCAUAGAGGUCAAAAUUCUCUAAAGAGUGUGUAACAACUCAUUAUCAAAUCAAUUUGCCAUAAAAAUGAAUGGUGCUCAAGUGUGCUACCUAUGCUAGUCAUUAUUGUAGUGAUUGCGAGGCAUCAAUGAGUAAAGGAGCAUGGAGGUAGUGGUGUAGCACAAGCGUAAGUGAAAUGCCUUUAAUG